ACCUAGCUGGCUCAGUUGGUAGAGCAUGUGACUGUUGAUCUCAGGGUCAUGAGUUUGAGCCUCACGUUAGGUA